rnacentral:rRNA from 1 species
GAUGAACGCUGACAGAAUGCUUAACACAUGCAAGUCAACUUGAAUUUGGGUUUUUUAACUUAGAUUUGGGUGGCGGACGGGUGAGUAACGCGUAAAGAACUUGCCUCACAGCUAGGGACAACAUUUGGAAACGAAUGCUAAUACCUGAUAUUAUGAUUAUAAGGCAUCUUAGAAUUAUGAAAGCUAUAUGCGCUGUGAGAGAGCUUUGCGUCCCAUUAGCUAGUUGGAGAGGUAACGGCUCACCAAGGCGAUGAUGGGUAGCCGGCCUGAGAGGGUGAACGGCCACAAGGGGACUGAGACACGGCCCUUACUCCUACGGGAGGCAACAGUGGGGAAUAUUGGACAAUGGACCAAGAGUCUGAUCCAGCAAUUCUGUGUGCACGAUGACGUUUUUCGGAAUGUAAAGUGCUUUCAGUUGGGAAGAAAAAAAUGACGGUACCAGCAGAAGAAGUGACGGCUAAAUACGUG